UAGUGAUGGUGAGGGCAUUGGCUAAGCAAUUCUCUAUAUUUUUCCCAAGCCUCAUGUAACUCUUCAUCCUCUUGCUGUUUGAAAUCAUGAAUUUGUCUUCUCAACUC
rfam:Corchorus olitorius cultivar O-4 contig11491, whole genome shotgun sequence.